rnacentral:lncRNA from 1 species
GCCCUGAGAACCCAAGACAGCAGACGCAGGAUUGGAGGGAUUGGGGGACUUCCUGAAGGUAUGUCCGAGACGACUUUUCAUAUUUAAACAUGAACAUGCCUACUCAUACACAUUCCAUAGAAUAUGACUGGUCCCGCCUUCCAAGCACUUUCAGGCCUUCUGCUCACUUGGUAUUUUUCUGGUAUUAUUCUGAUGGUAUUUCCAGGAGAUGGGGGUGGGGUGGGGUGGGGUGGGGGAGGAAAUAGCAAUAAAGAGAAGCUGGUUCACAAGGUAUUUGUGUUGUCUUGAUCUGUAUAGGUUGCAUGGCUUGGUAGCGUACAUUAUAUAGAGCUAUUAAAUAGACGGUGCUCAAAAUUUUUGAGGCAGGAAAAUAAGGCAUAUUUACAACACAAUUUCACACACGUCUACCGGCUUGUGACCUCAGCCUCCCCUUCUCUACAACAGAUGUGAUAGCAGCAAUAAUGAUAAAGAUUUGCUCACACGUUCACAUGACCAUGAGAGUGGAACUUAACGAAGUUGGGGGGGGGGGGGGGGGAGACCUGCCUGCAAGCCACAGGCGACUGGCAGACUAAGGUCAGGGGAAGACUAAGUACAAAGGUGACAAGUGUAAUUGGCGAUUGUCACCAUUUUUUUUUCAACCCGAGAGCUCUUUCUUCAAAACUGUCGCGUGUGGGCCAGCCUAGUCUACAGAGUGAGUUCCAGGACAGCCAGGGCUACACAGAGAAACCCUGUCUCUAAAAAACCAAAAACCAAACCAAAUCAAAACAAAAACUAAACUAGCUUCAUAACAAAAGAAAAAACUGCAGUCUGAUAAACUUUCACAUCCUCGUUCAGUUUCUGAAUGGCGUUCUCAUGGGAUUUCUCCAUACUAGGUUUUGCAGUAGUUUCUACAUUCAUAUUUCAAGGCUUGUGCCCAUACUGUAAUGCAUAGCACCUUUAAAAUUCUCCAUAUUAUCUUACUUACCAGUUUGGGUGUUUUGUCUGCAUGUAUGUCUGUUUACCAUCUGCAUACCGGGUGCCCAAGGAGGCCAGAAGACAGAGCUGGAUCACCUAGAACCGGAGUUACAGCCGUUACGAACCUCCUCGCAUGCUAGGAACCAAACCUGCUCCCUCUGCAAGAGCAACAAUUGCUCUUAGCCAAGAGCCGCCUCUCCAGCCCCUGUAAGGCAUAAUAACAGUGACAGACUUACUUAUCAGACUAAACAGUGAUACAUGCAUGGGUCACGCUUGAGCUCGUAAACACCUCACUGCAUCGCGCUCAAGAAUGCUGCUGCAUCGUGAAAGGCAGGCAAGCUGAGGUCUGCUCUGAAGAAUGCCAGAGAUCACUCUAGAAAAGAUCCGAGUCAAGAAAAAGAUGCUAAAGGUCCACACUGAGCCCAGGGCAGCUCUUGCCCAGGCUGUCACCUAUUCCUCCCUGAGAGAUUUUAUCAGUACAAGAUACGUUUUGUCUGUCAUAGGUUUUUCUCC